UAGGACUGCUCACCAAAAAUAAAUAGGUGGUCACAGAAAAUGUGGAGGAGCCAAGAUGGCCGAAUAGGAACAGCUCCGGUCUACAGCUCCCAGCGUGAGUGACGCAGAAGAUGGGUGAUUUCUGCAUUUCCAUCUGAGAACAAAAAUCAUCAGGAGUCAAGCAAAAUGUAACUCAGACCACAGGUGUUGUCCAAGCUUUGUUCAAGAGAGAAGUAAAGGAGUGAGAGAUGUGCAGUGAUGUAGAUGAAUGGUGAAGGAGAGACGCAGGGACAUGAGCAUGCUCUGGGGUGAUGCCUGUUAUAUGGUCCUUGAAGUGGCUAUCCUGACAAGAUUGAAAGGAAGUAUGAACAAUGGGAAGAAAAACUUCAGGAGAAAAGUGCAGUUUUGGAGAAACAGCCACAGGGAAAGAAAAAGCGUAGAAGAGGAUUCCAUUUUAACUUCUAAUUUUCAGUUACAUGUGGCCAUAGGACCAAAUGUGGUAAGAACACUGGGGCAAAAAAGAAGAAAAACGGAGAUGAGAUGAGAUGAGAAAAGGCGAGGAGAGAAAAGAGACACUGGUAUAU